GAUGAACGCUAGCGGCAGGCCUAACACAUGCAAGUCGAGGGGUAACAUAGGUGCUUGCACCGGAUGACGACCGGCGCACGGGUGCGGAACGCGUAUGGAACCUGCCCCUGUCAGGGGAAUAGCCCAGAGAAAUUUGGAUUAAUGCCCCAUGGUAUCCGGACAGCACAUGCUGACCGGAUUAAAGAUUUAUCGGACAGGGAUGGCCAUGCGUACCAUUAGUCGGAUGGUGAGGUAACGGCUCACCAUAACUACGAUGGUUAGGGGCCCUGAGAGGGGGAUCCCCCACACUGGUACUGAGACACGGACCAGACUCCUACGGGAGGCAGCAGUGAGGAAUAUUGGACAAUGGGCGGGAGCCUGAUCCAGCCAUGCCGCGUGCAGGAUGACUGCCCUAUGGGUUGUAAACUGCUUUUAUACGGGAAGAAACGCGCCUACGGGUAGGCGUUUGACGGUACCGUAAGAAUAAGGACCGGCUAACUCCG
rnacentral:rRNA from 1 species